GUCAUUUUGAAAGUUAUGUUUGAAUACAAAAUAUUCAAUAUUGGAAAGUUGUUUCCAACUGCAAAUUUAGAGAGAGAUUAAAGGGAAAGUGGAACAUUCUUUUUCUUCUGUAUUUUGACUUUUUUCCUCAGUGCUCUUUUCUUAUUAAAAGCUCUGGGCUUCAUUGAACUAUUUCCUGUUUCCCUUGCUUAUCCACAGAUUUAGAUGCUUUAUGUUGACUUACUGGUUUUUGUUAAUGGUAUGCUGAUUAUGAAUGUGUGCACGUGGUAGCUGUUCCUUCCUGAAGAACAUUCCUGUUGAAAGGAUGCUGAUAGUCUCCUACUUGACAGUAUUGCAGUUUCCAGUUUACUUUCAGGAGUAAUGUGAGCACAGAAGUGAUUUGACCUCUGCCCACAGUACCUCACAAGGGACUUCUAGCAUGAAAACAAAAAACUGAUUGCCUAACAAAUCAAAACCAGAAAAUAUGCAAAUUCUAAAGUCUGGGAAUGGUGAGUUUUCGUGGCACACCUCUGUAAGCUUGAAUAUUUCCAGAAAGAAGCAUGUGUGCCACCUACAAAUAACAAAUAGCUGAAUAAGUUUUCUGGAAAAAUUGUGAGAUAACUUAUUCUGGACUUCCAUAAAGAGUGACUUCACAUGAUAUCUAUGUUUACAGAUAAGCUGUACGGAAUAUUUGAAGAGAAAACUUAAGUCUGUACCAAU
rnacentral:lncRNA from 1 species